GAUUAACGCUGGCGGCGUGCCUAACACAUGCAAGUCGAGCGGCAGCGCGUUUUUCACUGAAUUCUGGAGGCUUCUAGUUGAAAGAGAAGAUUUAUUCAAGCAUUUUGUGUAAUAUGUCGGCGAGUGGCGGACGGCUGAGUAACGCGUGGGAACGUACCCCACAGUGAGGGAUAACGCAUCGAAAGGUGUGCUAAUACCGCAUAUAGUCUUCGUAUUAAAGCCUUCGGGCGCUUUGGGAACGGCGUGCGUAAGAUUAGAUGGUUGGUGGGGUAAUGGCCUACCAAGGCGACGAACUGUAACUGGGAUGAGAGGAUGAUCAGUCAGACUGGAGCUGAGACACAGACCAGACUCCUACGCGAGGGAGGAGAGAGGAAUCUACCACAAUGGGCGAAAGCCUGAUGGAGCAACGCCGCGGGUGGGAUGAAGGCGUUCGGGUUGUAAACUGGUUUUAUAAGUGACGAUUAUGACAGUAACGUAUGAAUAAGGACCGGCUAACUACGUG
rnacentral:rRNA from 1 species